rnacentral:rRNA from 1 species
UGUGCUUACAAGUAGUCAGAGCCCGUUAAUGGGUGAUGGCGUGCCUUUUUUAGAAUGAACCGGCGAGUUACGAUUUGAUGCAAGGUUAAGCAGUAAAUGUGGAGCCGUAGCGAAAGCGAGACUGAAUAGGGCGUUUAGUAUUUGGUCGUAGACCCGAAACCAGGUGAUCUACCCUUGGUCAGGUUGAAGAUCAGGUAACACUGAAUGUAGGACCGAACCGACUUACGA